AUAAAUGGUCCUGUUGUGCUGGUUAAUUCCUGUUGCAUCUGUCAAGUAGUGCUUGCAGUAAAUUAAAUCUGUAUGUUAAUAGUAUAUGUGUGUGGCUGAUGGACAAGCGAAAAUCUGUCUGCAAAAAGUGGAUGUCUCCAUGUGCACCUGGACCUGGUGAAAAAAGGCUGGUUGCCUUUGUUACCAGGGGGGAAAAAAAAAAAGAAGAAGAAGAAGAAAAAAUAAAAACAACAACAACAACCAGCUAUAAGUGGGAAUGGAAGUGAAGGGUACAGGAGGGAGAGCUGCCCAGGUCAGGCAGGACAGUCAUCGCAGGGAUGGUGCCCGUGUGUUGCCUACUCUCUAACAUGGGAGGUAAAGAGGAUAAAACCCAGGUUGCCUCACCGUCAGUGCUGGCUGUGUGCUGGUCACCUCUGUUUUAUGACUGGUCAUGCCUACAUCCCUUGACAGUAAAUCCAAGUGGAGGAAGCUGCUCAGAAAGCCUAUGGCACCUUGUUUAGAAAAAUGAAUCAGAAUAACAGGAAAAAACAGCUUGGUGCUUCACUGGAAAUGGGAGGGGAUUCUCCAUUUGCAUACUCACAUCAGAGCAAGCUUGGGAUGGCUGAAGUGAGCAAAUAUCCUUGGCCUUACCAGCGCAGGGCUGUGAGAGCCCGUGCUGCAUUGCAGUGAUGUAAAGGGCAGCUGACAGGGGUCAUACAGGGCUAGAGCAUUGCCCAAAUUCCCCCUUGGCCCCACUGCUGUUAAUUCCCUCCCAGCUGCUUUUCUGCUUCCAGCAGCUGCAUGUCUUGAAGUUUGACACACACAAUGAGUGCUGCCAACUACCUGAACGUAAUGAAUGUGUUUGGCAGGGGGGUUGGGAGAGCAGCGUGGCCUCCUAGGAAACUGGGUUUUAUCACACAUCUGUCACCGCAGAGAGGAAGCACUCAGCACUGAAAUCUCCAUGCUUGUUUUUCUUCCCCUUCACCAGUUCUAUCCUAUAAGCAAAUGAUUCUUCCAAAAAGCUUAUUAAAGGAAAAUACAAAACACUGCGAAACAGGUUUUAGGUGAAUAUCAAGGGAGCUCUGUAAACUGGCUGUUUGGUAGAGGUGACUCUGCACUCACAAGACUUACACAGCCAGAAGAGCAACACUCAACUGUGGAUUCGGGAGGCUGGGACUCCCAUGCCUCUGUCCCAAGGACCCUGCUGCUGCUGUCCCACCCGCAGAGCUCUCUGGAACCUGCUCAGCUCCCUGCAUCAGCCUCUAACAGCAUCCCACAGGAGGGGAAAAAACACACAACCCAUGGAGCCAAGCAGCGUCAUGGAAGGAUGAAACUUAUGCAAACAGAGAUCCACAAAAAAACAGAAUUAAUAAAAUAUAUCCUGCCUAUGCAUUAUGAAACACAUCUGCCUGCAGAGUGAAAUGCCAACUUUAAUUUUUACUUUGGCUUGAGAGAACUGGCUGGGAUGAAAAUGACUGCAUGCAUUGAUGAGCAGCCACCUGCAAAUGUUUGCACACACCUUCUUUUUCCUCUUUGUUUGGAUAUCUGGGUCCAGCAGAGAAUUCAUGGAAGGGUCUGGAAGUACACCUCUGUUUUUUGAAUUCCUUGGAGAUCUUAAUUGAACAGUCUGUAAUCCAGAUGGAGGAAGAGAAUAAAUGCAGCAGCUGAGGCUGGUGGUCCAUCUGCCUGGGGGCAGAUUUAAUGGGUAGGGUUACAGGAGUGAUGCCUUCCCCUCUCUUUUCUCUCUCUCUUUCCCAUUAAUGAUGCAGCAUGUCUUGCUAUUGCUAUGUGAUUGAGACAAGGCCAUGAAGCUUCACAACCCGCCUCUGUAACCAAAGGAGCCAUUUCCAGGCUCAAGCUUUGUGUCUCAGGUCCAGAUAUUCUGGCAAGCUGCCUGAUGAUCUGAAAUGGGAUACCUGCUCUGUGCAGAAAGGUUUCUCUUGGUCCAUGCCAGUACCUUCCUUAUGGAGAGAAACUGGAUCCUUUCUAGCCCUACCACUCUGUGUGGUCUUCUUGAUAUGUAUUCGCAUCCCUGGUAGCUACACGUAUUGCUGAUGCCUAACCUUGAGCAAUGUAAUGUGACAUAGAUCAGAUCCUCAUCAUGUAGAAACAUGAAGCUUUUCCUAGGCUUAUAUUUGCAGUUUUUUCUUUUCACUAAGUCUACAAAGCUCAGGAGAGAAAAAAGUCUAUUGCUGGGGUUAGAAAGCUGCUCUGGAUAUAUGACAUAUCAAAUUUUUAAAUCAGACCAGCCAAGCGCAGUGAAGUGUGUGUGGCACCCCCCAGCUGCAGUAUUACAGCUCUUCAGUGAAUCAUUUGAGCCCCCCCAUCCCAGAUCUCCAUUUAUAAUGAAAAAGAGGUUAAACUUUCAGGACAGCAAACAGCAAGAGGAAAAUUGGGAAGCUUAGAAAUGAAUGGUCCCAGAGUCCCCUCUGGAAGCGGGUGUUGCUGUUACUGGGGCUGUUUCUGAUGCAGUAAAUGCCAGGCAGCUUCAUAUGGGAGAGCACUCUGCUUGACAGAAAGCCAGGUUUUGUACUUUCAAAGUCAGUCUUCAAAACCGUAUCAAUGAGCAAGUAACAGAACUUUCCUGCUAUAAAUAUUUGAACAAUAGUUUGUUAAUUUUUGUUACUCUCAAUGUGAAUUAAUUGCUAUUUUAUCAACUUCAGCUUCUAUUAGUUUAGGAUUUACAUCUUAAAUGAUGAUAUCAGCCUUCAUCUUGAAUAAAACAUUUCGUAACCUAGACAAGUUCAUUAAAUUCUUGAAGGUGAACUGACAAAUUAAAGGCAGCACGAAGACCCUGAUGUGUUUUACAAUUGCAAGAAUACUCAUUUGUAGUUUUACAGAACAACAUCAUGCAUUUCAGAUAUUUCAACUUCAAAUGCAUUGUGAUAAAUACUGCUGCCUUUUGAAAUGAUACUGCUCCUUUUUAUCUCCCAUUAAUAGAUAGACUUCUGCACCUAUCCUCUCCCUCUUCAGAAGCUAAUGAGGUGUCAGUUUAUAUUAUUAAUCACACAAACAACUAAGGAUGUAAUGAAAUAACCCUUUGCAUGUUGCUCUUUUACCCAAUUAAGCUCGACUGGCAUGGGAUUAUCCUUGUGGUCCCAGCACUGACAUUUGUAGUGGCACAUUUACCACAGCCAACCGUGAUUAUCCAGUGCUCUGAGCUGCAAAGACAGAGAAGGGGAGAGACCCUGGGGUAAGGCACGUUUGUGCUGCUAAAUCCAUUCCAGUAAGGGAUGUAAGUGAUUUACCAUGAGGAAGAUGGAAACCCAUGGAAAACCUGCUUGCCUGUCACUUCGGGAAGACUUGGACUGUGUCUGAAGUAGUGCUGUUAAUGGCAGUGUACUUACCACAAUGUAGGGGAGGCAUAAUGAGACCCAGAGAGCAUGCAUACUUAUCUAC